GGGACACGUGGUAUCCUGUCUGAAUAUGGGGGGACCAUCCUCCAAGGCUAAAUACUCCUGACUGACCGAUAGUGAACCAGUACCGUGAGGGAAAGGCGAAAAGAACCCCGGCGAGGGGAGUGAAAAAGAACCUGAAACCGUGUACGUACAAGCAGUGGGAGCCUCUUUAUGGGGUGACUGCGUACCUUUUGUAUAAUGGGUCAGCGACUUAUAUUCUGUAGCAAGGUUAACCGAAUAGGGGAGCCGAAGGGAAACCGAGUCUUAACUGGGCGUUAAGUUGCAGGGUAUAGACCCGAAACCCGGUGAUCUAGCCAUGGGCAGGUUGAAGGUUGGGUAACACUAACUGGAGGACCGAACCGACUAAUGUUGAAAAAUUAGCGGAUGACUUGUGGCUGGGGGUGAAAGGCCAAUCAAACCGGGAGAUAGCUGGUUCUCCCCGAAAGCUAUUUAGGUAGCGCCUCGUGAAUUCAUCUCCGGGGGUAGAGCACUGUUUCGGCAAGGGGGUCAUCCCGACUUACCAACCCGAUGCAAACUGCGAAUACCGGAGAAUGUUAUCACGGGAGACACACGGCGGGUGCUAACGUCCGUCGUGAAGAGGGAAACAACCCAGACCGCCAGCUAAGGUCCCAAAGUCAUGGUUAAGUGGGAAACGAUGUGGGAAGGCCCAGACAGCCAGGAUGUUGGCUUAGAAGCAGCCAUCAUUUAAAGAAAGCGUAAUAGCUCACUGGUCGAGUCGGCCUGCGCGGAAGAUGUAACGGGGCUAAACCAUGCACCGAAGCUGCGGCAGCGACACUGUGUGUUGUUGGGUAGGGGAGCGUUCUGUAAGCCUGCGAAGGUGUACUGUGAGGUAUGCUGGAGGUAUCAGAAGUGCGAAUGCUGACAUAAGUAACGAUAAAGCGGGUGAAAAGCCCGCUCGCCGGAAGACCAAGGGUUCCUGUCCAACGUUAAUCGGGGCAGGGUGAGUCGACCCCUAAGGCGAGGCCGAAAGGCGUAGUCGAUGGGAAACAGGUUAAUAUUCCUGUACUUGGUGUUACUGCGAAGGGGGGACGGAGAAGGCUAUGUUGGCCGGGCGACGGUUGUCCCGGUUUAAGCGUGUAGGCUGGUUUUCCAGGCAAAUCCGGAAAAUCAAGGCUGAGGCGUGAUGACGAGGCACUACGGUGCUGAAGCAACAAAUGCCCUGCUUCCAGGAAAAGCCUCUAAGCAUCA
rnacentral:rRNA from 1 species